rnacentral:rRNA from 1 species
AGUGAACGCUGGCGGCGUGCUUAAUACAUGCAAGUCGAACGAUGAAGUCCUAGCUUGCUAGGAUGGAUUAGUGGCGCACGGGUGAGUAAUAUAUAGUUAAUCUGCCUUGCACUGAGGAACAACAGUUGGAAACGAUUGCUAAUACCUCAUACUCCAACUUUACAUAAGUUAAGUUGGGAAAGUCUUUUCGGUGCAAAAUGAGACUAUAUCGUAUCAGCUAGUUGGUAAGGUAAUGGCUUACCAAGGCUAUGACGCGUAACUGGUCUGAGAGGAUGAUCAGUCACAUUGGAACUGAGACACGGUCCAAACUCCUACGGGAGGCAGCAGUAAGGAAUAUUGUGCAAUGGGGGAAACCCUGACGCAGCAACGCCGCGUGGAGGAUGACACUUUUCGGAGCGUAAACUCCUUUUGUUAGGGAAGAAUAAUGACGGUACCUAACGAAUAAGCACCGGCUAACUCCGUG